rnacentral:rRNA from 1 species
UACGGAGGGGGCUAGCGUUGUUCGGAAUUACUGGGCGUAAAGCGCACGUAGGCGGCUUUGCAAGUUAGAGGUGAAAGCCCGGAGCUUAACUCCGGAAUUGCCUUUAAAACUGCAUCGCUAGAAUUGUGGAGAGGUGAGUGGAAUUCCGAGUGUAGAGGUGAAAUUCGUAGAUAUUCGGAAGAACACCAGUGGCGAAGGCGACUCACUGGACACAUAUUGACGCUGAGACGCGAAAGCGUGGGGAGCAAACAGG